UCGACGCGUCGUUAUUAUUGCAACGCACUAAAGGAACUUCAGGGGGCACAGCAUCGCUUCCCUGGCGCAGCAGGGAGUUUAUGAAGACAGAGAAGCAAAGAUAAAGAGACCGAAACUUUCUAAAGUAUGGGAGAAUUUCAGCCAAAAUAAACCAAAGAAACGAGCUGAAUGCAGACACUGCAGAGCAGAGUUGUGGUUUCACGCCAGCAACACGGUGAAACGCGAGCACCCUGCAGCCAGCGUUAUUCAGGACAGCACUAAGCAAUGGAGUGUGGAUGACUUUCACCAGAGAAGAGGUUCAUGCACCCCUCAAAUGGCUGAGGUCCUCACAGACAGCAUUCACAUGUUUCUCAAUGACAUGUUAUAUAUGUUUUUGAUUUCCAGAGUGAUAACUUCUGAAACAUAACAGUUUCUAAUGCUGUCCAAAGCUUUCUUAUUUCAUUGAUUUUUUUAUUGUGAUUGUGUAUUAAUGUUUCAAAUAUAUUUGAUUAAACUAUCAAGCUUAA